rnacentral:lncRNA from 1 species
GGAGCUAACCAAGCAGGGUGUCAAAGACCUCAAGCACAUUAGAAACUCAGAAAAGGGCAGGUCUAAUGUGAGACAGGAUAAGCACAAAAGUCUUCAGCUGGCAAAGUACUAUGGCAGACGCUGUGAUUCUUCACUUCUUUCUGGAUUGAACUGCCCUAUUAUGUACACUUGCAGCAAUUCCCAGCAAGGAAUGGAAUCUGUUUCCCCACCUCUUGAGUCUGGACUGGUCCAAUGACCUGAUUUGACGAAAAGAAUGAAGUGGGAGUGACCAUGUGCCAGUUCUGAGCCUAGAUUUCAAGAAACCCACUCUGUUGGAAUCCUCUUGCUGCCAUGUGAGUAAGCCUGUGUAAGCCUGCUGGACAAUGAGAAACACAGAGCCUAGUUGCGGCAUUAACCCAGCCGACAGCCAGAAUAUCCUGCAGCUCACCAAAGAUGCUAAGGGAGUCCAGGAAUGUGAAGCUGCUAAGCAAAGAGGAGAUCUUCAAUAAAUGUUGCAUCAGAAGAAAUAUAAAAACCUGAGAACAAAAGUCUCUCAUCCAUUCGGGGGGUAUCCCCCAUCUUCUAUGCCUCUCAUCUAGAGGAAACACAGCCCACCUGCUUUCAAGCCAGGCACGUCCUUGGGCGUUCUGCUGGGGCUGCGUGUGAACUCAGUGCAGCAUUCCCAAUGACUACAUCUAAUCAGUUCAGCAGCUCGUGGAUUCUGCAGGAUUGAACCAUUUGCUGUGCAAGCCCAAGCAUAUCCAGGCAGCAGGGGGCAGUUGCCCUGCCCUGUGAGGUGAGGGAGUCAUGUUCCUCAGAGGAAGCAGAGCGGAAGGCAGUGGCUGAUGCCACUACAUAAAGACGUUAGACACAAAGCCCACAUGCAAUAAAUACAUAAGCUGAAGUAAACUGAUGUACACCGUUGGUUACACCUUUCCUAACAACCAAACUGACUAUUGCUUUCCAGCCUUUGGUGACAAGAUUGAAGAGCUUAUCAUAUUCAAGUUGAUUACAUCCUUGGAAAAAAUUGUUGUAGCCUUUGGAGUAGAAGACUGCACCAAUUUUAGGUCUAAUUCCUGGAAAUUUAUCAGUAGUCAUUAUGGAAUAACCAGGGUCCAUGAAUUGUCUUCUCUCUUCUCACCUCCAGUAAUGUCUAUCCACAAAGAGGUAGGUCUUGUAGCAGCAUGCAUUAAAAACAGCAGGAGCAAUCUUCUCACAGAGUCAGG